CGGGGGUAAUGGAAGCUCCCUACCGCCAAGCACCACGACCCUCCCCUGCCUUCUCCAGGCCUAAGGGUCAAGCUGCCAGGCCACCAGGCAGUGCCAGAUGGACAAUUCGAGGCUGAGUUACAUGAUUUAUCCAAAGUCACACACGUGCACAGGUGGUGGAGCUGAGGUGCAGAUUCAGGCUUGACUUCAAAACCAGGGCUCUCGCUCCAACAGUAGGCUGCAACGGCUUGAAGGACAAUGGUAUAGUUGUCCGGAAUUGGGUAAUGACAUCUAGGUGAUAUACAAUUUAUUCCCAGCAGCAAAACAAGUAUUUACCAGGCUGCUGCUGUAAAGAUCAUUACUAGCAUUUGUGUACUGCUUUCCUAUUUAUAAGCCAUUUUCACUUGCAUCAUCUUCUUUAAUCUUCACAACUUAGAGGGGUAAGUAUGAUUAUCAUUUCCAUCUCUGCCUCUGGAAACUAAGGCCUGCCAGUGUGCCCAAGCUUCACUUGAGUUUUAAGAGCACUCCCUGCCCCAGCCCUCUUUCUCGGUAACAGAGGGCUCCAUUUCUUUCCGCAUUUGGUCUACUUUUUCCUUGUUCUGUUUUCCAUGGAAAUACAGCUCAGUGCUCAACCUCAUCCCCAGAAAAUAGUGACUAUAUCAUGCCUUUGAG
rnacentral:lncRNA from 1 species